AUGGCCGCUGCCAUAGGCUCGUCUACCCCUAUGGCGGUGCUUUUGAACACCGGCAACCUUGUUAUCCGGUCGUCAAACGGCACCACGUUGUGGCAGAGCUUUGACCACCACACUGACACAUUCCUCCCUGGCAUGAAGGUCGGGCUCAAGUACAACACGCAUGAUGGCGGUGAGCGCCUUGUAUCCUGGAAGGGCCCGGGCGACCCCUCGCCGGGCCGCUUCUCUUAUGGAAUCGAUCCCACCACGUUCCUCCAGGUGUUCCUCUGGGACGGGAAGCGCCCGGUGUUGCGCAGCGCCCCAUGGACAGGGUACCUUGUGACAAGCGAGCGCCGGUACCAACAGACGAAUGCCAGCACAGAGGUCAUCAUCUAUCUUGCCGUCGUCGACAAUGACAAGGAGAUCUACAUCACAUAUAGCCUCUCAGAUGGCGCCCCGCACACUAGGCAUGUGCUGACCUACUCCGGGGAGUACCAAACCCAGAGCUGGAAUAACAGGUUGUUGGUGUGGGAAGUCCUCGUGAAGUUGCCCUCCGUUCAAUGCACCCUAUACGGCUAUUGCGGUCCGUACGGCUACUGUGAUCAGACGGCAGCACCUGUCCCAACGUGCAAGUGCCUAGAUGGUUUCGAGCCGGCUAGCACGGAGGAGUGGACCGGUGGCAGGUUCUCUAUGGGAUGCCGGCGGAAGGAGCCAUUGGGCGGGUGCGGUGAUGGUUUCCUGGCCUUGCCGGGGAUGAAGCCGCCCGACAAGUUCACACUCGUCGGCGGGGGUAAGAGUACGUUCGAGGAGUGUGCAGCAGAGUGCAACCGUAACUGCUCUUGUGUGGCAUACGCACAUGCUAACCUGAGCAGUGGCGGGUCUGAAGGAAACGUGACAGGGUGCUUGGUUUGGGAUGGGGAGUUGAUUGACACGGGAAAGCUUGGUGAUGUGUUUGGUAGCAACACGCUCUAUCUCCGAGUUGCUGGCCUAUAUGUGGCGGACGGUAAAAGGACUACGAGCAACACAGUGAGGAUUGGGCUGCCAGUUUUAGCAAGUGUUAUGGUACUCCUAUGCAUAACCUUGGCAUGGUUAAAAUUUAAAGGUAAGAUCGAAAAGUGGAGAAAACGCAAAAGUUCAUCAUUGGAUGGCAUGUGUAUCUCUUAUGAACUUGAUGAAGGGAACCCUCACCGUGAUCGUAAAUUUCCAUUUGUAAGAUUUGAGGAAAUGUCCAUAGCAACUCACAACUUCUGUGAAACAUGUCAGAUUGGACGUGGAGGCUUUGGCAAAGUUUACAAGGGGAUGUUAGGUGGUCAAGAAGUUGCUAUCAAAAGGCUUAGUAAGGAUUCUCAACAAGGAACAAAGGAAUUCAGGAACGAAGUAAUUCUAAUUUCAAAAUUGCAACAUAGGAACUUGGUUCAACUCCUUGGAUGUUGCGCGGAAGGGGAUGAAAAAUUGUUGAUUUAUGAGUAUAUGCCUAACAAGAGCUUGGAUGCUACCCUUUUUGAUGACUCAAGAAGAUUGUUACUAGAUUGGUCGACACGGUUUAAUAUAAUCAAAGGGGUCGCAAGGGGACUUCUCUAUCUCCACCAAGAUUCAAGACUGACAAUAAUUCAUAGAGACCUGAAAGCUGGAAACGUUUUGCUAGAUGCAGAUAUGAAACCCAAGAUAGCGGAUUUUGGUAUGGCGAGGAUCUUUGGAGAUAACCAGCAAAAUGCAAAUACUCAACGCAUUGUCGGGACCUAUGGCUACAUGGCUCCUGAGUAUGCAAUGGAAGGCCUCUUCUCUACCAAGUCCGAUGUAUAUAGCUUUGGUGUGUUGCUAUUAGAGGUUGUAACUGGUAUUAGAAGAAACUCCAAUAGUGGAACCAUGGGUUUCCCUAGCCUCAUAAUCUAUUCAUGGAAUAUGUGGAAAGAAGGGCGGGCAGAGGAGUUACCAGACUCAUCUAUCAUGGAUACUUGUUCAGUAGAUGAAGUUGUGCUUUGCGUCCAUGUGGCACUCUUGUGCGUCGAGGAGAACCCAGAUGAUAGGCCGCUUAUGUCAUAUGUUGUGUUCGUCCUAGAGAAUGGAAGCACCACACUUCCUGACCCCAAUAGUCCGGCCUACUUCGCGCGACGAAGAAUUGAAAUGGAGCAAAUCAGGGAAGAUAUUCAGACUUCCGCAAACGGUUUUACUCUUACUGAAAUAGAGGGGCGUUGA
rnacentral:rRNA from 1 species